ACCUGGGUGGCUCAGUCAGUUGAGCGUCUGACUUCAGCUCAGGUCAUGAUUUUGCGGUUUGUGAGUUCAAGUCCCUCAUCAGGCU
rnacentral:tRNA from 1 species